UACGGAGGGGGCUAGCGUUGUUCGGAAUUACUGGGCGUAAAGCGCACGUAGGCGGCUUUGCAAGUUAGAGGUGAAAGCCCGGGGCUCAACUCCGGAAUUGCCUUUAAAACUGCAUCGCUAGAAUUGUGGAGAGGUAAGUGGAAUUCCGAGUGUAGAGGUGAAAUUCGUAGAUAUUAGGAAGAACACCAGUGGCGAAGGCGGCUCACUGGCCCGGUACUGACGCUGAGGCGCGAAAGCGUGGGGAGCAAACAGG
rnacentral:rRNA from 1 species